rnacentral:rRNA from 1 species
GAUGAACGCUGGCGGCGUGCCUAAUACAUGCAAGUCGAGCGAACAGACGAGGAGUUUGCUCCUCUGACGUUAGCGGCGGACGGGUGAGUAACACGUGGAUAACCUACCUAUAAGACUGGGAUAACUUCGGGAAACCGGAGCUAAUACCGGAUAAUAUAUUGAACGGCAUGGUUCAAUAGUGAAAGACGGUUUUGCUGUCACUUAUAGAUGGAUCCGCGCCGCAUUAGCUAGUUGGUAAGGUAACGGCUUACCAAGGCAACGAUGCGUAGCCGACCUGAGAGGGUGAUCGGCCACACUGGAACUGAGGCACGGUCCAGACUCCUGCGGGAGGCAGCAGUAGGGAAUCUUCCGCAAUGGGCGAAAGCCUGACGGAGCAACGCCGCGUGAGUGAUGAAGGUCUUCGGAUCGUAAAACUCUGUUAUUAGGGAAGAACAAAUGUGUAAGUAACUAUGCACGUCUUGACGGUACCUAAUCAGAAAGCCACGGCUAACUACGUG